rnacentral:tRNA from 1 species
UAUAUUUUAGUAUAAGAUGUAUAAAAGUUUUUGAUACUUUAGGUAAUAGUUUAAUUCUAUUAAAUAUAA